ACGAACGCUGGCGGCCGUGGAUAAGACAUGCAAGUCGAACGCUGACUUUCAGGUAGCAAUAUUUGAAAGUUGGGAGUGGCGCAAGGGUGUGUAAACACGUGGAUCAUCUGCCGUGAAGUCUGGGGAUAACUCGCUGAAAAGGCGAGCUAAUACCGGAUUGUGAAUGAAAAUUCAAAGUUUGGGGGACCGCAAGGGCUCCUGACGCUUCACGAUGAGUCCGCGGCCUAUCAGCCUAGUUGGUGAGGUUAAUGGGCUCACCAAGGCUAAGACGGGUAGCUGGUCUGAGAGGACGAACCAGCCACACUGGAAACUGAGACACGGUCCAGACACCUACGGGUGGGCAGCAGUCGAGGAAUUUUUCUCAAUGGGCGAAAAGCCUGAAAGGAGCGGACGCCGCCGCGUGGGGGAUGAAUGGCUUCGGCCCGGUAAACCCCUGUCAUUUGCGAACAAAUUGAUUCACUUAAACACGUGUAUCAUUGAUUGUAGCGGAAGAGGGAAGGGACGGCUAACUCUGUGCAGCCAGCAGCCGCGGUAAAUACAGAGGUCCCAAGCGUUUGUUCGGAUUCACUGGGGCGUAAAGGGUGCGUAGGCGGUCGGGUAAGUCUGAUGUGAAAAUCUCACAGCUUAACUGUGAAACUGCAUUGGAUUACUAUCCGGCUCGAGGAAAUGGGAGGGGAGACUGGAAUACUUGGGUGUAGCAGUUGAAAUGCGUAGAUAUCAAGUGGAACACCAGUGGCGAAGGCGAGUCUCUGGACAUUUCCUGACCGCUGAGGCACGAAAGCCAGGGGAUGCAAACGGGAUUAGAUACCCCGGUAGUCCUGGCCCCUAAACGGUGCGCAUUUGCUGUGAGUGGAAUCGACCCCGCUCCGUGGCGAAGCUAACGCGUUUAAAAUGCCGCCCCGCCUGGGAGAAAAUACGGCCGCAAGGGUUUAUAAAACUCAAAGAAAUUGACGGGGGCCUGCCACAAGCGGUGGAGUAUGUGGCUUAAUUCGAUUGCAACGCGAAGAACCUUACCUGGCCUUGACAUGCAAGUAGUAGAAUCAUGAAAGUGGGACGAGGUAGCAAUACCAGCUUGCACAGGUGCUGCAUGGGCUGUCGUCAGCUCGUGUCGUGAGAUGUUGGGUUAAGUCCCCGCAACGAAGCCGCAACCCCUGUGUCCUGUUGCCACCACACUUCGGUGUGAGCCACUCUGGACAGACUGCCUCGCUUCAUACGAGGAGGAAGGUGGGGAUGACGUCAAGUCAGUAUGGCCCUUACGGCCAGGGCUGGCACACGUACUACAAUGCCCGGCACAAAGGGAGGCAAGAUCGUAAGAUGGAGCAAAUUCCCCAAAAAUCGGGCCCAGUUCAGAUUGUCGUCUGCAAUUCGACGGCAUGAAGCUGGAAUCGCUUAGUAAAUUGGCGCAUCAGCUACGGCGCCGUGAAUACGUUUCCCAGGCCUUGUACACAACCGCCCGUCACAUCAUGAAAGCCGGUUGCACCCGAAGGAGCCGCCCCUUUAAAAAGGGUGUCGAAGGUAUGACUGGUGAUUGGGAUG
rnacentral:rRNA from 1 species